AUUGAACGCUGGCGGCAGGCCUAACACAUGCAAGUCGAACGGCAGCACAGAGAGCUUGCUCUCGGGUGACGAGUGGCGGACGGGUGAGUAACGUCUGGGAAACUGCCCGAUGGAGGGGGAUAACUACUGGAAACGGUAGCUAAUACCGCAUAACGUCGCAAGACCAAAGUGGGGGACCUUCGGGCCUCACACCAUCGGAUGUGCCCAGAGGGGAUUAGCUAGUAGGUGGGGUAAUGGCUCACCUAGGCGACGAUCCCUAGCUGGUCUGAGAGGAUGACCAGCCACACUGGAACUGAGACACGGUCCAGACUCCUACGGGAGGCAGCAGUGGGGAAUAUUGCACAAUGGGCGCAAGCCUGAUGCUGCCAUGCCGCGUGUAUGAAGAAGGCCUUCGGGUUGUAAAGUACUUUCAGCGGGGAGGAAGGCGGUGAAGUUAAUAACUUCACCGAUUGACGUUACCCGCAGAAGAAGCACCGGCUAACUCCGUGCCAGCAGCCGCAGUAAGAC
rnacentral:rRNA from 1 species